rnacentral:lncRNA from 1 species
AAAUGCCUUUACUGCAUCAUUAAACACCUUUACUGCAUCAUCAGGUUGAGUCUAGACCUGCCAGGCCGCGUCACAGUUAGGCCUGUAGCCCGAUACUUGGAUCUCAGAAGGACUAAAUGGUCAUUUGUUAGAUAUUUUUAUUUGUAGAUACGAUUCGGGCGAUUUUUUUACCGUUGGAAAGCUCUCAAGCUCUACUUCAAGUUGGGAUAGAUUUUGGGCAGUUUUGGAGCAAUUAUAUUGUGUCUAUAUUGCUUAUGGGCUACUAGAGUUUGUGUGGUCCUUUAGGCUCAGAAUCAAGGUUUUUAGAAGUUCCCAUAGCCAGAAUUUCGAAGGAGGUGUCUACACCUAGUAAGAGUUUGUCUUUGUUUAGGGUUCAAUAACUAAUAGCAAACAAUUGACAUCUAGAAUCUAUAUAAAAUUCAUGUAAAAGAUAAAAAAAAUAAUACUAACAAAAAGAAGAACGAGGAAAAAGAGAAAAGAUCUCAAGCAUGCAUAUGACAUCAUAAAAAUCCAAGCAUGGGCAAAUUAAAAAUGAAGGACUCACCAAAAGGGGCAAAAAUUAAUACGUAAAACACCCUAAAACUGUGGCAAAUUAAUAAUGAAUGACUCUCCAAAAAUGGGGUAAAGAUUAACAAUAUUUCAUCCUAAAAAUUGGGGCAAAAGUAAUAAAAAAAUGAAAAAAAAAAAAAGGAUGACAAAAUUAUCCCUAAGAAAUUCUUAAUAAGAGCAAUAUUACGUUGGAAAGGUUGGAUGCCCAGAAAAAUGGUCCCAACAACCCAAAUAUUUUAGGGCCAAAAGGACCCGUGGUCUAGAUGCCAAAUACCGUGGGGUCCAAUCAAGCUGGGCCCAAACGUCAGGCGUCUGGCACAGAGAGCCCAUUGCACAGUGGCAUGUCCGAAAAAUGGCAUAAAAGGUUUGAAAGCGAGCAAAGAUCGAAGGAAAACAUCCAUGGAGCAUUCUAUCUAACAUUUCAAAGGCAUGUUCCGACAAACUGUAGGGGUAGAAUUUAAUAUGCUUGCGUCAAAUUUGAGGCAAAAUUCUUGGGGCAAAUCACAGAUCCAUAUGUAUUCUGUUCAAACUGACAACUUUUGAGCCAAACAACAACUAAUGUUAAAAUGAAAAUCAACCAAGAAGAGCAUGCAUGAGUAAACUUGCAAAAAUGAGAAAAUGGAAAAAAAAAAAAAUGGAGGAUUUGCCCAUACGAGCAAAAAUGAGAAAAUGGAAACAAACGGAAGAGGAUUUAUCACUAGUUUUCAAGAAGAAAAUGGAGUAAACACUACAAAACUUUUGAUGAACGGAAAAGAGAAAAAAAAGAACAAAUGUGUUUUUAUAAGGGCACACCUUUUCGUUAGCCUUGCUCUUCGAAAUGUGCUUCAGACUCGAGUUCUAUUGUAGAACCUCAACAGUCAUCUGCGAUUCGUUGGCGUUUGAGAAAGUGAUUAGCAGAUAAGUUUUGGUGGGCAUGGUGAUGAAAAUGGUAGAGGGAAAGAUGGGAAAGUGGUAGAAAUGGAGUCCACCGAUAAGUAUCCUAGAGAGUUGAUAAAGGGGUUAAAAUGAGGCAGGAGAGAAAACGAAAACAGAUAAAUGAAUUUUUUUUUUUUUUGUAGAAGAAGAUUAAAGAUUGGAGGUUUGCUUUUUGUAAGAGAGAGAGAGAGAAAGAGAGCGAGGAAACUGUUAACAGAAGUAAAAGGGCGUUUGCACCGGUUUAAAUCCAGGAAGUGCAGGCCGCGCUUUGUGGUGUCUGCAUAUGUUUCGCAAACGGCAUCUACUGUGGCGCUUAGCACGAAUUUCCUGAAACUUUCCAGAAUGC